CCGGUAAACGGCGGCCGUAACUAUAACGGUCCUAAGGUAGCGAAAUUCCUUGUCGGGUAAGUUCCGACCUGCACGAAUGGCGUAAUGAUGGCCAGGCUGUCUCCACCCGAGACUCAGUGAAAUUGAACUCGCUGUGAAGAUGCAGUGUACCCGCGGCAAGACGGAAAGACCCCGUGAACCUUUACUAUAGCUUGACACUGAACAUUGAGCCUUGAUGUGUAGGAUAGGUGGGAGGCUUUGAAGUGUGGACGCCAGUCUGCAUGGAGCCGACCUUGAAAUACCACCCUUUAAUGUUUGAUGUUCUAACGUUGACCCGUGAUCCGGGUUGCGGACAGUGUCUGGUGGGUAGUUUGACUGGGGCGGUCUCCUCCUAAAGAGUAACGGAGGAGCACGAAGGUUGGCUAAUCCUGGUCGGACAUCAGGAGGUUAGUGCAAUGGCAUAAGCCAGCUUGACUGCGAGCGUGACGGCGCGAGCAGGUGCGAAAGCAGGUCAUAGUGAUCCGGUGGUUCUGAAUGGAAGGGCCAUCGCUCAACGGAUAAAAGGUACUCCGGGGAUAACAGGCUGAUACCGCCCAAGAGUUCAUAUCGACGGCGGUGUUUGGCACCUCGAUGUCGGCUCAUCACAUCCUGGGGCUGAAGUAGGUCCCAAGGGUAUGGCUGUUCGCCAUUUAAAGUGGUACGCGAGCUGGGUUUAGAACGUCGUGAGACAGUUCGGUCCCUAUCUGCCGUGGGCGCUGGAGAACUGAGGGGGGCUGCUCCUAGUACGAGAGGACCGGAGUGGACGCAUCACUGGUGUUCGGGUUGUCAUGCCAAUGGCACUGCCCGGUAGCUAAAUGCGGAAGAGAUAAGUGCUGAAAGCAUCUAAGCACGAAACUUGCC
rnacentral:rRNA from 1 species